rnacentral:rRNA from 1 species
AGAGUUUGAUCAUGGCUCAGGAUGAACGCUAGCGGCAGGCUUAACACAUGCAAGUCGAGGGGCAGCGCGUUUGUAGCAAUACAGAUGGCGGCGACCGGCGCAAGGGUGCGUAACGCGUGAGCAACAUACCCGUCACAGGGGGAUAAGCGAUGGAAACGUCGUCUAAUACCGCAUAAAACUUAGGGCGGCAUCGUCUGGAGUUGAAACUUUAUAAGGGUGACGGAUUGGCUCGCGAGACAUUAGCUAGUCGGCGGGGUAACGGCCCACCGAGGCUACGAUGUCUAGGGGUUCUGAGAGGAAGGUCCCCCACACUGGAACUGAGACACGGUCCAGACUCCUACGGGAGGCAGCAGUGAGGAAUAUUGGACAAUGGCCGGAAGGCUGAUCCAGCCAUGCCGCGUGCAGGAAGACGGUCCUAUGGAUUGUAAACUGCUUUUGUACGGGAGCAAUAAGGGUCACGAGUGGCCCGAUGAGAGUACCGUACGAAUAAGCAUCGGCUAACUCCGUGCCAGCAGCCGCGGUAAUACGGAGGAUGCGAGCGUUAUCCGGAUUCAUUGGGUUUAAAGGGUGCGUAGGCGGCCAGACAAGUCAGCGGUGAAAUGCAAGGGCUUAACCCUUGACGUGCCGUUGAAACUGCCGGGCUAGAAUGCGGAUGCUGUGGGAGGAAUGUGUAGUGUAGCGGUGAAAUGCAUAGAUAUUACACAGAACACCGAUUGCGAAGGCAUCUCACAAAUCCGCUAUCGACGCUGAGGCACGAAAGUGCGGGGAUCAAACAGGAUUAGAUACCCUGGUAGUCCGCACAGUAAACGAUGAUAACUCGCUGUCGGCGAUAGACAGUCGGUGGCCAAGCGAAAGCGAUAAGUUAUCCACCUGGGGAGUACGACCGCAAGGUUGAAACUCAAAGGAAUUGACGGGGGCCCGCACAAGCGGAGGAACAUGUGGUUUAAUUCGAUGAUACGCGAGGAACCUUACCCGGGCUCGAACGGUACAGGAAGAGAUCCAGAGAUGGUGACGCCCUUCGGGGCCUGUAUCGAGGUGCUGCAUGGUUGUCGUCAGCUCGUGCCGUGAGGUGUCGGCUUAAGUGCCAUAACGAGCGCAACCCUUGUCGUCAGUUGCCAGCGGGUGAUGCCGGGGACUCUGGCGAGACUGCCACCGCAAGGUGAGAGGAAGGGGGGGAUGACGUCAAAUCAGCACGGCCCUUACGUCCGGGGCGACACACGUGUUACAAUGGCGAGUACAGAGGGGUGCCACCCGGCGACGGGGCGCAGAUCUCGAAAACUCGUCUCAGUUCGGAUCGGAGUCUGCAACUCGACUCCGUGAAGUUGGAUUCGCUAGUAAUCGCGCAUCAGCCAUGGCGCGGUGAAUACGUUCCCGGGCCUUGUACACACCGCCCGUCAAGCCAUGAAAGCCGGGGGUGCUUGAAGUCCGUGACCGAAAGGAGCGGCCUAGGGCAAAACUGGUAAUUGGGGCUAAGUCGUAACAAGGUAGCCGUACCGGAAGGUGUGGCUGGAACACCUCCUAAUCUCACUCUC